UGGAGGAUUGAGGAAAACACCAUACAAUCAAGCAGCAUUAGACACCAGGAGGAUCCUGUGUUAAAGGUCAACAUAAACAAUUUGACAAGUGCGGAGGACCCAAUCCUGAAUGAAGCUUCUGGGUGCUACUGUAACUAAUAAUUGAAACCAGUUGUUUUUUCACUUACUUUGUUUUAAGUCACCAUUUGAUGUGAAGCUGACAUACAUAUUCUGUUAAACAUUUUAAAUCCUAAUGUUACUAGAGGCACCAUGCUUUAUGACAAAGAACUGAAACUCAAGAGAUGGCCAACUCUGUACCUUGAUUUGUUAUGUUACCAUGAAAAAGCCACUUACCUACUCGACACAUGAAUUUCUACAUCUGUAGAUAACGGGAUUCAGAGAGCUUUGUAAAGAGCUGUGAAAUCUACAGAUGAAGUCUGAGUACUUUUAUUAUACUUAUUUUUAAAAUAUAUAUGAUUUUACCUGAAAAUUUUUAAGGGGGGAAGCCACAAUAGAAGAUUACAUUCUUAACUACGAUUAACACCUGGCAGGAAACUAUUCAGGCUUUGUUGGUUUAAAGGGAAGCCUUAAUGGUAAGCCUGGACCAUAAUUCUAGCAGGCUUUUAUCCUUGAAGAAAAAUGAAAUUCAGGUAGAUUUCAUUAUAGGUGGAUGAAAUUUUCAUCUUUAUAUUCCAACUGGCUAUUUAAAAUUUCCCUCCCACUUCUGCCUUUUCCUCAAAUAGCACACCUACUUUCCUCCUCUGCCUCUACUUCGUCUAUGGACAACUGUAUUUUUGACUCUUGUGUAUAUCUGAACCAUAGAAGACAAACUAUUUGACCAGUAUGGACAAUUAAUACAGUGUAAAUUGAAACAAUUUCUUAAAUUAAAAAUGCAUACUUAAGUUUCAGUGUGAGCAAAACUUGCAGGGAAGUUAUGGUAAAUUCAAAUCUUUCUUUACUCGCUAAUGAUGAACCACUCCUAAAUGUUAAGAUUGCAACACAAAUAGAUGAAAUUAAGUGCAAGGCAAUGCACAGGUAAAGUUUAGACUACUUCAACUCAGUCCCACUGUCUUAGCUAUGGAAAAACAUGACAUUUAAAGUGAUUUUGAGUUAAGAACAGAAAAUCAAGGAUUAUGCUAUAAGUCAAGCCUUUUGUUUAUAUUGUUUGUGAUCAUUCUAAAUAUAUUUAAUUUCCAAUUUUACAGUAU